rnacentral:rRNA from 1 species
GCAGAUGGAGGAGCCGCGGCGCAUUAGCUAGUUGUGGGGUAACGGCCGUACCAAGGCGACGAUGCGUAGCCGACCUGAGAGGGUGGACGGCCACGACUGGGACUGAGACACGGCCCAGACUCCUACGGGAGGCGAGCAGUAGGGAAUCUUCCGCAAUGGGCGCAAGCCUGACGGAGCAACGCCGCGUGAGCGAAGAAGGCCUUCGGGUUGUAAAGCUCAGUCACUCGGGAAGAGCGGAUGAGGGAGUGGAAAGCCCUCGUCGAGACGGUACCGAGAGAGGAAGCCCCGGCUAACUACGUG